rnacentral:rRNA from 1 species
AGCGGAGGAAAAGAAACUAACAAGGAUUCCCCCAGUAACGGCGAGUGAAGCGGGAAGAGCUCAAGCUUAAAAUCUCCAUGUUUUACAUGGCGAAUUGUAGUCUAUUGAGGCUGUUGUCAGCAUAGCGAUUUGGGAUAAGUCCCUUGGAAAAGGGCAGCACAGAGGGUGAUACUCCCGUCUUUGCUCAGAUUGUCUAUGUGUACGAUACGCUUUCUUUGAGUCGAGUUGUUUGGGAAUACAGCUCAAAGUAGGUGGUAAAUUCCAUCUAAAGCUAAAUAUUGGUGCGAGACCGAUAGCGAACAAGUACCGUGAGGGAAAGAUGAAAAGAACUUUGAAAAGAGAGUUAAAGAGUACCUGAAACUGUUGAAAGGGAACCGUAACAUGUCCAGUGUUGUAUCUUGUGCAUAUUUCAUUAGUGGAGUAAUUUACUGGUGCCCUGUGCAUGAGUGUGACGUCAAAGUCAGUUUGUAUGCUGCGGGAGAUGGUUAGCAAGGAGGUGCGUCACUUUUGUGUCAGUUAUACCUUGUUAUCUAGUAGCCGUGGUUGAGACUGAGGUGCCUACAACAUGCUUAUAGAGUAUAUUGUUGUCUCGUUAUUAUACCUGUUUGGAUAGCUUGCUAUGCUGAUGGUCUAUAAUGGCGAUUGAUGAUGGUAUUAACUUUUUGCUGUUCGGGACUUUGACGAAAUGGAAUGUUACGAC